rnacentral:rRNA from 1 species
GAUGAACGCUGGCGGCGUGCCUAAUACAUGCAAGUCGAGCGAACAGAUGAGGAGCUUGCUCCUCUGACGUUAGCGGCGGACGGGUGAGUAACACGUGGAUAACCUACCUAUAAGACUGGGAUAACUUCGGGAAACCGGAGCUACUACCGGAUAAUAUAUUGAACCGCAUGGUUCAAUAGUGAAAGACGGUUUUGCUGUCACUUAUAGAUGGAUCCGCGCCGCAUUAGCUAGUUGGUAAGGUAACGGCUUACCAAGGCAACGAUGCGUAGCCGACCUGAGAGGGUGAUCAGCCACACUGGAACUGAGACACGGUCCAGACUCCUACGGGAGGCAGCAGUAGGGAAUCUUCCGCAAUGGGCGAAAGCCUGACGGAGCAACGCCGCGUGAGUGAUGAAGGUCUUCGGAUCGUAAAACUCUGUUAUUAGGGAAGAACAAAUGUGUAAGUAACUAUGCACGUCUUGACGGUACCUAAUCAGAAAGCCACGGCUAACUACGUG